rnacentral:rRNA from 1 species
GAUGAACGCUGGCGGCGUGCCUAAUACAUGCAAGUCGAGCGAACAGAUGAGGAGCUUGCUCCUCUGACGUUAGCGGCGGACGGGUGAGUAACACGUGGAUAACCUACCUAUAAGACUGGGAUAACUUCGGGAAACCGGAGCUAAUACCGGAUAAUAUAUUGAACCGCAUGGUUCAAUAGUGAAAGAUGGUUUUGCUGUCACUUAUAGAUGGAUCCGCGCCGCAUUAGCUAGUUGGUAAGGUAACGGCUUACCAAGGCAACGAUGCGUAGCCGACCUGAGAGGGUGAUCGGACACACUGGAACUGAGACACGGUCCAGACUCCUACGGGAGGCAGCAGUAGGGAAUCUUCCGCAAUGGGCGAAAGCCUGACGGAGCAACGCCGCGUGAGUGAUGAAGGUCUUCGGAUCGUAAAACUCUGUUAUUAGGGAAGAACAAAUGUGUAAGUAACUAUGCACGUCUUGACGGUACCUAAUCAGAAAGCCACGGCUAACUACGU